rnacentral:rRNA from 1 species
UGGGGAAUAUUGCGCAAUGGAGGAAACUCUGACGCAGCAACGCCGCGUGAGUGAAGAAGGUUUUCGGAUCGUAAAGCUCUGUCUUUGGGGACGAAUAAAAUGACGGUACCCAAGGAGGAAGCCCCGGCUAACUACGUGCCAGCAGCCGCGGUAAUACGUAGGGGGCAAGCGUUGUCCGGAAUUACUGGGCGUAAAGAGUACGUAGGCGGUUUGUUAAGUUAGAUGUGAAAGUUUGCAGCUCAACUGUAAAAGUGCAUUUAAAACUGGCAGACUUGAGUCUCGGAGAGGUAAGCGGAAUUCCUAGUGUAGCGGUGAAAUGCGUAGAGAUUAGGAAGAACACCGGUGGCGAAGGCGGCUUACUGGACGAGUACUGACGCUCAGGUACGAAAGCGUGGGGAGCAAACA